GCUGUAUAUUGUCACCCUGCUUAUUUAACUUAUAAGCAGAGUACAUCAUGAGAAACGCUAGGCUGAAUUUUAGAAACCUGCAUUCUGAUUGAUUAUAUAAAAAUACAUGCACAUAACAACAUUUUCUUCCUUUUCAGUUUUGAAAUAUUUUGUGAAGAUUGAUAUAGCAAAACUUUAAGUCUUAAAUCAGUCCCAGCAUUUUGAGAUCAUUCUUUAUUAAUGAAAACUGUAAAUAGAACAGCUUAAAACUGAAAAAGCGUCAUGUUAAUUGGUCCUGAAGACAAAUUUGUUGAAAAGAACAUCGGUGUGCAGUGUUUCAAGGUCUUUCUUAAGAAGCCGUGGCCAAAUUUGGAUUCUAACCCAAGAUGCCUAAAACUUAUUAACAUGGCCAUUAUGGAGGUUGAAUGUGUAGUUGUCUCUUCAUGGAAUUAAUAAAUAUUGUUUCACUAAAAAAAAGAAAAAAAAAAAGAAA